rnacentral:rRNA from 1 species
ACCAGCGCUAUCUCCGUGCCAGCAGCCGCGGUAAUACGGAGGGUGCGAGCGUUAAUCGGAAUUACUGGGCGUAAAGCGCAUGCAGGUGGUUUGUUAAGUCAGAUGUGAAAGCCCGGGGCUCAACCUCGGAAUUGCAUUUGAAACUGGCAGACUAGAGUACUGUAGAGGGGGGUAGAAUUUCAGGUGUAGCGGUGAAAUGCGUAGAGAUCUGAAGGAAUACCGGUGGCGAAGGCGGCCCCCUGGACAGAUACUGACACUCAGAUGCGAAAGCGUGGGGAGCAAACAGGAUUAGAUACCCUGGUAGUCCACGCCGUAAACGAUGUCUACUUGGAGGUUGUGGCCUUGAGCCGUGGCUUUCGGAGCUAACGCGUUAAGUAGACCGCCUGGGGAGUACGGUCGCAAGAUUAAAACUCAAAUGAAUUGACGGGGGCCCGCACAAGCGGUGGAGCAUGUGGUUUAAUUCGAUGCAACGCGAAGAACCUUACCUACUCUUGACAUCCAGAGAACUUUCCAGAGAUGGAUUGGUGCCUUCGGGAACUCUGAGACAGGUGCUGCAUGGCUGUCGUCAGCUCGUGUUGUGAAAUGUUGGGUUAAGUCCCGCAACGAGCGCAACCCUUAUCCUUGUUUGCCAGCGAGUAAUGUCGGGAACUCCAGGGAGACUGCCGGUGAUAAACCGGAGGAAGGUGGGGACGACGUCAAG